AGGAGGGUUUGAUCAUGGGGCUCAGAAUGAACGUUGGCGGUAUGGAUUAGGCAUGCAAGUCGAGCGAGAAGUUUUCCUGCUUGCAGGAAGGCGGACAGCGGCGCAAGGGAGAGUGACGCGUGGAUUAUUUACCCCCUGGUUCGGGAUAGCUGUGGGAAACUGCAGGUAAUACCGAAUAAAAUCUCCGGAUCAAAGGUGUGAUUCCGCCGGGGGAUAAGUCCGCGUCCUAUUAGCUUGUUGGUGGGGUAAUGGCCUACCAAGGCAAUGAUGGGUACCGGGCGUGAGAGCGUGGCCCGGCUCACUGGGACUGAGACACUGCCCAGACACCUACGGGUGGCUGCAGUCGAGAAUCUUCCGCAAUGGGCGAAAGCCUGACGGAGCAAUACCGCGUGCGGGAUGAAGGCCUUCGGGUUGUAAACCGCUGUCGAAGAGGAUGAAGUGCUAGAAGGUUAUCCUUCUAGUUUGACAUAUUCUUGGAGGAAGGACGGGCUAAGUUCGUGCCAGCAGCCGCGGUAAGACGAACCGUCCAAACGUUAUUCGGAAUUACUGGGCUUAAAGGGUGCGUAGGCGGCACGGCAAGUCAGAUGUGAAAUCCCUCGGCUCAACCGAGGAAUUGCGUUUGAAACUGCCGAGCUAGAGGGAGACAGAGGUGAGCGGAACUGAUGGUGGAGCGGUGAAAUGCGUUGAGAUCAUCAGGAACAC
rnacentral:rRNA from 1 species